rnacentral:rRNA from 1 species
AACGUAGGAGGCAAGCGUUAUCCGGAGUUACUGGGCGUAAAGAGUGCGUAGGCGGACCUGUAAGUGGGUGGUGAAAGCGCCCGGCUAAACCGGGCGAGGUUCAUUCAGACUGCAGGUCUAGAGGCGGAUAGAGGGGUGCGGAAUUCCGGGUGUAGCGGUGAAAUGUGUAGAGAUCCGGAGGAACACCAGUGGUGCAAACGGCGCCCUGGGUCCGAACUGACGCUGAAGCACGAAAGCGUGGGGAGCGAACGGG